rnacentral:rRNA from 1 species
GAUGAACGCUGGCGGCGUGCUUAACACAUGCAAGUCGAACGAAGCACUUCGAUUUCUUCGGAUUGAGGAGUGACUGAGUGGCGGACGGGUGAGUAACGCGUGGGUAACCUGCCUCAUACAGGGGGAUAACAGUUAGAAAUGGCUGCUAAUACCGCGUAAGCGCACAGUACCGCAUGGUACGGUGUGAAAAACUCCGGUGGUAUGAGAUGGACCCGCGUCUGAUUAGCUAGUUGGUGAGGUAACGGCUCACCAAGGCGACGAUCAGUAGCCGACCUAGGAGGGUGACCGGCCACAUUGGGACUGAGGCACGGCCCAAACUCCUACGGGAGGCAGCAGUGGGGAAUAUUGCACAAUGGGCGAAAGCCUGAUGCAGCGACGCCGCGUGAACGAAGAAGUAUUUCGGUAUGUAAAGUUCUAUCAGCAGGGAAGAAAAUGACGGUACCUGACUAAGAAGCACCGGCUAAAUACGUGCCAGCCGCCGCCGUAAGAC